rfam:Isotria medeoloides PsbC (psbC) gene, partial cds; chloroplast.
AAUAGCCAAAUAUCACGCUUGGGCUAAGCGUCAAGUUGGUAANUUUUCUUACAUCUCCCCCUCCGGGUGCCCAAGCAUCAUAUACGCCUCCAAAAUACAGAGAUUUGAGUACUAGAAGAAGAGCACCUAGACCCAAUAAAAUUAAGUGAAUACCCAAGAUUGUAGUCAUUUUAUUUCGAUCUUUCCA